ACGCACGCUGGCGGCGUGCUUCACCCCUGCCAGUCGAACGGAAAGGCCCUGCUUUUGUGGGGUGCUCGAGUGGCGAACGGGUGAGUAACACGUGAGUAACCUGCCCUUGACUUUGGGAUAACUUCAUGAAACUGGGGCUAAUACCGGAUAGGAGCUCCUGCUGCCUGGUGGGGGUUGGAAAGUUUCGGCGGUUGGGGAUGGACUCGCGGCUUAUCAGCUUGUUUGUGGGGUAGUGACUUACCAAGGCUUUGACGGGUAGCCGGCCUGCGAGGGUGACCGGCCACAUUGGGACUGAGAUACGGCCCAGACUCCUACGGGAGGCAGCAGUGGGGAAUAUUGCACAAUGGGCGGGAGCCAGAUGCAGCAACGCCGCGUGCGGGAUGACGGCCUUCGGGUUGUAAACCGCUUUCGCCUGUGACGAAGCGUGAGUGACGGUAAUGGGUAAAGAAGCACCGGCUAACUACGUG
rnacentral:rRNA from 1 species